UGGGGAAUAUUGGACAAUGGGCGCAAGCCUGAUCCAGCCAUGCCGCGUGAGUGAUGAAGGCCCUAGGGUUGUAAAGCUCUUUCACCGGUGAAGAUAAUGACGGUAACCGGAGAAGAAGCCCCGGCUAACUUCGUGCCAGCAGCCGCGGUAAUACGAAGGGGGCUAGCGUUGUUCGGAUUUACUGGGCGUAAAGCGCACGUAGGCGGACUAUUAAGUCAGGGGUGAAAUCCCGGGGCUCAACCCCGGAACUGCCUUUGAUACUGGUAGUCUUGAGUUCGAGAGAGGUGAGUGGAAUUCCGAGUGUAGAGGUGAAAUUCGUAGAUAUUCGGAGGAACACCAGUGGCGAAGGCGGCUCACUGGCUCGAUACUGACGCUGAGGUGCGAAAGCGUGAGGAGCAAACAGG
rnacentral:rRNA from 1 species